rnacentral:lncRNA from 1 species
UUCCAUCCGAGAUGAAUGUAACAACUCUUUUAAAGGAUAUAUGUCACACCCGAAUUUAAAGGACAAAGUCGGGUGCAUCUCAUACAUGUGCCAAAGAAGACAACAUAUAUAAUAACAGAGUGUAUAGAGAUAAAUGUCACAAUAACAGCAAAGUACUUAUUACAUAGCGGAAGUCUUACAAAAUAAAAGUAAAUAUAAAACGAACUAGGGACCAUCCUUGGCGCCAAUAAGUCAACUAGGAGACGCCACCUAGAUCGAAUCGAACUCCUCGUUGUGUGGCUCCUCUUGAACCACCUGUACUUCUCCUGUGGGGGGUGUAAGACAGCAAGGGUGAGCUUACAUAUGUUCAUCGCUCAACAAGUUGUUUGGAAUAAUGUGCAUGAACUCACCAAAGGUGGGAAUUCAUGUGAUGUGUAAGGCUGAUCAACAGUAGGGGUUAAAGCUGAGCAUUGCUUUUAAUAAGUUGGUCAAAUUUUAUUAACAAAUACUAAAUGUAAGUAAAUACCAAACCAUAAUAAAUAAUAGAACAAAAUUAAUAAAUAAUCCCAUGCAAAUGCAAAUGACAAAUUGAAUUUAGUUCCAUAAUUUAAUCAUGCGAGAGUCCUGAGUUGCUCUUGACCGUGAGCUCGGCUAGUAUACCAGUUUUACACUUUACAGAGGUUGUACCCUGUACCCACAAGUCAUGUAUCCCAUGUCGCCAGGGUUACCUAGACCCUUAGACACUACCGAGGUGAAUGGCUAGGGACCCACUACGAGGCUUUUACAAAGUUCCACUAGCUUCCGAAAACACUAAUACAUGCGCCAAAGAAGACAACAUAUAUAAUAACAGAGUGUAUAGAGAUAAAUGUCACAAUAAUCAGAGUACUUAUUACAUAGCGGAAGACUUACAAAAAAUAAAAGAUAAAUAUAACAGGAUCUAGAAUCCAUCCUUGGCGCCAGAAAGUCAACUGGGAGACGCCACCUAUAUCAAAUCGAACUCCUCGAUGUGGCUCCUCUUGAACCAUCUGUUCUUCUCCUGUGGGGGUGUGGGACAGCAAGGGUGAGCUCACACAUGUUCAUUGCUCAACAAGUUGUGGGGAAUAAUGUGGUAUGAACUCACCAAAGGUGGGAGUUCAUGUGAUGUGUAAAGCUGAUCAACAAUAGGGGUUUAAAGCUGAGCAUUGCUUUUAAAGUUGGUCAAAGUUUUAUUAGCAAUUACUAAAUGUAAGUAAAUACCAAACCAUAAUAAAAAUAAUAGAACAAAAUUAAUAACAAAAUCCCAUGCAAUGCAUAAGACAAAUUGAAUUUAGGUUCCAUAAAUUAAUCAUGCGAGAGUCCUGAGCUGCUCAUGACUGUGAGCUCGGCUUGUAUACCAGUUUUACACUCUGCUGAGGUUGUACCCUGUACCCACAAGUCGUGUAUCCCAUGUCGCUAGGGUUUGCAAGGCCCUUAGACACUACCGAGGUGAAUGGAUAGGGAUCCACUACGAGGCCUUUAUAAAGUUCCACUAGCUUCCAAAAACCUGCUAUAGUUUAUGGGAAGAGCACUUGCAAGAAUUCCCCGUCUGACCGCCAUCGCAGCAAAAUCAACAUGAGAACCUCCUUGCAUGCAACUCCCCUACUGCCCUUGCCCCUUUCGGGUAAGGUAGUCUUCCACUAGCUUUCCUAAUUAGUCAGCCAAGGGCGUCCCAUUCCACCCUUGUGGUGGCACGUGUUUCUCAAGUUAAGCUCCAUGUUCCAAUUAACAUUUAAUGAUCUUGACAUGAACAUAAAUAACAUAACAGAAUAAUUGGAACAUGGAUAUAAUGAAAUAUUAAUCCCAAAACCAAAUAAUGCAAUAGCAUAACUAGCCAAGUGAAUCAGGGGUAAACAAGGUAAACAGGAUAAACAAACUAGGGUGACCUAUUGGGUCCCAUCAAAAAUUAAACCUAUGCAUUAAAUAAUGAUAAUAAAGAAUAUUAUUGGGUAACAAAAGUGGAUCAAGGGCACAACUUGCCUGGCACUUGAGAUUACAGGUUCCACUUUCUCUUCAAGUGACUCGUAACCUUGCUACUAGUCAUAGCAAUAUAAACAAACAUGGUAUAGACAAAAUUAACAUCACACCAAACAUAAGUACAAACUGAAUAAUAAUAAUCUAUGUGAAGCUACAAAAUCGUGGGAUCGAGAUCUACUAAGAUCGGAGUUACGAUUAAGGAGUUAUGAUUUUAUAAAAGAUCUAUGUGAUUAAAAUAUUAGACUAUAUUAUGAAUUGGUUAGGAUACCCUAUAUGAGAGAAUUAAUUAUCUCAACUUUAAUCUAAGUUAUAAAUUGACCAUAGAUCUUAUUCUAGUAGGUUAUAAUGGUAAGCAAAUUAACAAGUCUAACCGACAUAAAUUAAAUAAAAAUCUAAUUAGAAAAGAAUGAGGCAUGGUAUAAUAAAUGUUGUUAUUGUGUAGUAGAUAUUUAUAUGAAGCUAACGCAACUGGAACGAGAUAAAUCGGAUUUAAAAUGGAGAAAUUAUGAAUUUCCGAAGUUAUUAGGUACUUAGAAUAGAUUAAUUCAAAUGAACAAUUUUAAUUCAAUUUCAUGGCUAAACAGUGUUACUUGUUGAUAGACAAUAUUAAAAAAAUUAAUGUCUCUGGAAUGAAUCAAUUUGGAGCUAAAAUGAAUUUAAUAUGAUUUAUCCAAGUUUAUGGAAUUAUUUUUGUAUUAAAAACAAUUUCUAUAAUCAUUUCCAUGUUUUCUCUAUUUUCCUGGUUUGCGCGUCAAUUACUAAAAAGAUCAGGGGCUAUCUCAGAAGAUUACCCAGACUCAGUCUACACCCCCUUGGACGACGGGUUGAUUUCUAUGUUCUACGGGGUCUCUUUAACAAAAUAUCUGGCCGAAGGGGUACGGGCGGAUGAGAGCCGCCCGAUCCGACUUGUGCGGUCAGGAUUAGAUUCCCACAGAGCAACUCCCACGCGUGGGAUGUGUCAUCGACGGUUCAGAUUUUAAAACGCACGAGCACACGAGGUCUGUUCGAUCGCGAUUGGACGCUAGUCGCGUGCACAAACCCAACUGUUAUCGUCGAUUAGAUCUCGGCCAUCCAUCCAAUAUCCGAUGGCUACCGAGCACUCCCUAUCUUGCCCGCCCACGCACAGAUCUGCGAUCACGAUUAAAUCGAGUUGAACUGGUAUCUCAAACUAAUCAGAACCAUGCACCCAUCGGCCAACCAACGGCCCACGCGUUCCUCUCCUCACCCCGGUCGGAGACGGCAGUGCGUCAGCCCGCGCGACGGUGGCGGCAUUGGCGGCGAACCCUUAAGCAUGCUGGGAAGGGCCUAAGUCUAACGUGACCCGAUGCAAAAUGAAGAGGGAAAGGUGGAGAGCAUCAUGGUGGGGGGCUUACCGAAGAUUAGGUCACCAGGAGUCACGCCCACGGCGCACGGCGGAAGUCCACGGGUCCUCAUCGUCGGUGAGCAAUUCUGGCUUCACAACGACCGCCACGCACCCACACCCCCGCGUGUCGUCACCGGUGGGUUGCAUAAUGCUCUGGUUCCAGCCCCGAGGGCACGAACGGCAACAGACGCGAGGCACAGGUGCGGCGGCUACGCCCUCCUAUGGUGUGCUGGCGGCGGGGUGUUCGUGCGUAGGGAGGGCGACCCGGAAAAGCAGCUCCACCCGAAUAUAUAGCUAGCGCGGUGAAGAGGCUAGGCCAGCGUGCGGUCAGUUGGUGGUUGGAUCCAGCGUGGAACGCGGCGUUCGGAGCGGAUGUGAUGAGGGGGCGCCAGUCCGCGAUAUUCACGGGAGGAAGAAGACGAGUUCGCAGCGGAUCUCACCCGAUGACCAGUGGGCCCCACACGGCAGCCACAGAGCUAACGUGCGAGAGAUGGAGCUUGGGUCGUGCGGAGGAAAACAGAAGUGGGCCGAACGCGCGUGGUGGCUUGGCUGAGCUGCUGCCGCGCAGGUCUAACCUGUCAGUGACACGAGGUGGAGACGGCUGGCGCGGUAAAAUGGCUGACGGUGUGGGCUGAGUGCAGCGAGCGAAGUGGGCCAAGGUGGAGAAUGGGCUGAAAGUGAGGUAGCCGGCCCAGAGAGUUCUAGUUCUUCUUUUUCUUUUCUUAUUUCUAUUUUAAUUUAAAAAUACCCAAUCAAAUUCAAAAUUUCUAUUUCAAGUAUAAAUGCAUCAAUCAAAAAUCCGAGCAUGAUAUGCAACAAAUUUAUCUAUAUUAAUAUAUAUAUAUAUAUAUAUAUAUAUGUUUAUUAAUUUAUCUAAUUAAGUAAAUGCUUCAAAUGUUUAAUUUAGUAAAGAAUAAAUUCAUAGCAUCAAAUAAUUGAAUAUGUUCCUCAUUAAAUUUCCCUUGUCAUAUAUGUAGGAAAACCAUUUUAUUGUAAACCUUUCUUAGAAAUUAAUAUCAAUCAUUUACUUUAGGAUAAUAUUCCUUUCAUGUUUACCUCUGAUUCCAUGUUUCUCAUUUAUUUAUUUUAGCACCAAAUAAGUAUUUUCAAAUGUGAAAUCUUAAUUAGAAAAUAUAACUUAAAUCUUUAUAGGACUUAUCCUUAUACAAAACUUAUAAACUUAAAAGAUAUUUUAUAUAAUAAUCCUUUUACUGAAUCUUAAAAAAAUUAUUUUAGGAGAUGUGACUUCAAAAGUUAUGGGACUUCUAAAAGAAAUUCUAACACAAGGUCUUUGGAAAUAUAUUUUUUACUAUAGUCUCAAAAUGAGAUUUUGAGGUGUUACAAAUCCUACCCCCUUAACAGAAAUCUCGUCCUCGAGAUUUGUAAGGAAAGGUACAUAACCAUGUUAUCUCAAAACAUAUGCACAAACAAAAUCUCAGCAUGAUGCAUACUUUAUUAGCAACACACGAGGUCAAUUACACCUUGAUAUUCCUCCUAAAAUAGUAGCAUACCAACCACUAACUAAAGUAACAUUUAACUAAAAUAGUAAUAUAUAUGUAUAUUAAUGUCGAUGUUGAUCUUUUCUCCUCCGGUCUUGGUCUCAUUGUUUCGAGGUUAGUGUAUAUUAUCGAGGUUGGGAAAUAUGGUUAAUAUAGAUAUGGAUGAGGUAAACCACAUUAUGUAGAUCAAAAGUUUGUUUGAUGUUAGGUGAGGAUAGAUUGAUUAUACCAUUCAUCAUGAAUCUAUGGGUUGUGUUAACUAUUUUGCUCAUGGUUGAGUUGGUCUAAUGUGCUAAGUUAAGGUAACACCCAGUUAGUAGGGUCUGAUAUCUUCUACCAGCAUCACUAAUCUGUUUAAGUAGAACACACUAGUUUAGAUCAUACUAGAUUAGAUCACAUUAGAUUCUAUGAUUCCAUUCAAGAAUAUCAUUUAGUUAAGCAUGACAAGAUGAUUUUAUCUUUAUGAAAUACUAGUAUAGAUAUUUUUUCGAAGUGGAACUUCCAAUUGGUAUGAGUUUUUUUAUACACCUAAAAUUAUUCAUGCCAUUAACAGGUGUGGUAUAGAAACAAGGGUACCUCAGAUUCUGGCCAUUAGGUGAGUGUAGAGAAGAUUUGGGGGCAGAAGAAAGUUUGGUAGGAGAGAUUUUUUUCGGGUGGUGGAUCUUGAUUCAUCCGAAGAUCUGUUUCUACUGGUAUCUUUCAUAGUCGAGGUUAACCUUCUUCUUGGAUCUGAUUUAAGGAUCGGUUGUGGUGUUAGAUUCCAUUACCUGAGUUGAGAUAACAACUGCGGGUACAUAGGGUAGGUAGAUUAAACAGAGUUUUACUUUGCUUUUGGAAUAAAUGGGUUGGGCAACCUAUAACUUAGGUUAGGUCAUGGUUUCACGAACGAGUUGGUCUAAGACACCAAUUUAGGUUUAAAAUCCACUUAUAGGAAUAUGGUUUAGUUAAUCCUUGUAACAUGGAUUAGACCAUAUUAGAUUAGGUAGAGUCUAGAUUAGAUUGGAUAUAACUAUAGAUUAGACUAGUUUAAGUUAGAUAAAUCUACCAGGGUAGAAUAUGUAUUAUUAAGAUAUGUUAGAAUCCUUUGAGAUAGGAUAGAUUACAUGGGUAGGUAAAUCAGAAUCUCUGUUAGGUUAAAACAGAGGGGUUAUGCAACUAUCGGGUGGUUAAGGUAAUUGCAUAUGGCCAGGUUGUUGUAUGUGGUCUAGUCUAAAUUGGAAUCUCAGUCCAACUUGGAUUAAAACAUAUUUAUAAGAGUAUGAUCCAAUCUUAUUUUACCAGUAUUAUCUAGCAUGUUCGUCCAUUAGGUUAGAUCUGAUCAAAUUAGAUGGGAUCAGAAUUAAAUUGGUGUAAUCAGAUAAGACUAGAUAAGGUCUACUUAAUUUAUUUUAGAAUAGAUCAUGUUUGUUACAGUGUUUUAAGAUAAGCAAAUGAUAGGUAUGCUUAUUAAGACAAGAUGAGCCUAUAAGAAUAAGAUAGAGUCUUUUGAGUUUAGUUAGAUCUAUUAGGGUAGGAUAGAAUCUUUUCGAGAUAAGAUGGAUCUUGUUAAGAUAAGAAAGAAUCUUCUAGGAUAAGAGAAAAUAUGUUAAGAUAAAAUGGAUCUAUUAAGAUAAGAGAGAAUAUUUUAAGAUAAGAUGGAUCUUUAAGGUAAGAAAGAAUAUUUUAACAUGAGAUGGAUCUAUUAAGAUAAGAGAGAGUCUUUUAGAUAAGAGGGGUCUAUAUAAAAUAGAUACACUUCAAUAGAGGAUAAUCUAAGUUGUUUAUUUAUCUCAUGAAUUUUAUUUAUUUAUAUCUAUAUGUAUAUGUAUAUGCAGAUGUAAUUAUGGACAUUACUCCACAACUAAUCACACUCAAUCAAAGAUCCAAAUCAAACAAGUAUCAUAAGGACAAACACUCAAGCGUAUAAAUACCUAUAAAAAUAGUUUUGUUCUUUUUGUUUCUAAGAGUAGGUCUCCUAGUCCUAACAAUCACCUUAGGUACGGUAUUUCAAAGUGUGAAACCCACAUUUGUCUUUAGAAAGGAAAGGUAAGAAUAAUCAGAGUAAGCGAAAAUAGAUGAGAAAAGAUUAAGAUAAGUUUAGAAAAGAAUCAGAGUAAGGCAAAUAGGUAAUGGUUUUGUCCAUUUCUAUCUAGGUUUCGUCCUACAGUCAACAUUUGCCUCUGAUACCACUUCUGUAACACCCCGGGCUUUAAGGGAUAAAGUCGUGUGCAUCUCAUACAUGUGCCAAAGAAGCCAACAUAUAUAAUAACAGAGUGUAUAGAGAUAAAUGUCACAAUAAUCAAAGUACUUAUUACAUAGCAAAAGACUUACAAAAAAUAAAAGAUAAAUAUAACAGGAUCUAAAAUCCAUCCUUGGCGCCGGAAAGUCAACUGGGAGACGCCACCUAGAUCGAAUCGAACUCCUCGAUGUGGCUCCUGUUGAACCACAUGUUCUUCUCUUGUGGGGGUGUGAGACAGCAAGGGUGAGCUCACACAUGUUCAUCGCUGAAAGGGAAUUAGGCUUACACCUAUUUCCUAAAUGAUUUUGGUGGUUGAAUUGCCCAACACAAAUAAUUGGACUAACUAGUUCGCUCUAGUGUAUAAGUUAUACAGGUGUCAAAAGUUCAUACUUAGCAAAUAAAAAGACCAAGAAUCGGGUUCAACAAAGAGAGCAAAGGGAUAACCGAAGGCACCCUGGUCUGGCGCACCGGACAGUGUCCGGUGCACCAGGGGACUUCAAGCCAAACUUCGCACCUUCGGGAAUUCUCAGAGGUGCUCCGCUAUAAUUCACCGGACUGUCCAGUGUACACCGGACAGUGUCCGGUGCUCCAGAGGAGAGCGACUCUGAACUCGCCAGCUUCGGGAAUUCGCUCCGCUAUAAUUCACCGGACAUGUCCGGUGUGCACCGGACUGUCCGGUGAGCCAGCGGAGCAACGGCUACUUCGUGCCAACGGUCACCUGCAGAAGCAUUAAAUGCGCGCCAGAGCGCGCAGAAGUCAGGCACGCACGAUGUGGCGCACCGGACACUCUACAGUACAUGUCUGGUGUGCCACCGGACAUCCAGGCGGGCCCAGCAGUCAGAGCUCCAACGGUCGGAACCCAACGGCCUGGUGACGUGGGUGGCGCACCGGACACUGUCCGGUGUACACCGGACUGUCCGGUGCACCAUGCGACAGACAGCCUCCACCAAACGGCUAGUUUGGUGGUUGGGGUUAUAAAUACCCCCAACCACCCCACAUUCAAGUCAUCCAAGUUUUCCACCUUCCAACCACUUACAAGAGCUAGGCAUUCAAUACAAGACACACCCAAGCGAUCAAAUCCUCUCCCAAUUCCACAAAAGCAUUAGUGACUAGUGAGAGUGAUCUGUUGUGUUCUUUUGAGCUCUUGCGCUUGGAUUGCUUUCUUCUUUCUCAUUCUUUGCUUGUGAUCAAAACUCAAUUGUAACUGAGGCAAGAGACACCAAUUGUGUGGUGGUCCUUGCGGGGAAGUUUUGUUCCCGGUUGAUUUGAGAAGAGAAAGCUCACUCGGUCCGAGGGACCGUUUGAGAGAGGGAAAGGGUUGAAAGAGACCCAGCCUUUGUGGCCUCCUCAACGGGGAGUAGGUUUGCGAGAACCGAACCUCAGUAAAACAAAUCCGCGUGUCACACUUCUUAUUCACUUGCGAUUUGUUUUGCACCCUCUCUCGCGGACUCGGUUAUAUUUCUAACGCUAACCCGGCUUGUAGUUGUGAUUAACUUUGUAAAUUUCAGUUUCGCCCUAUUCACCCCCCUCUAGGCGACUUUCAAUUGGUAUCGGAGCCCGGUGCUUCAUUAGAGCCUAACCGCUCGAAGUGAUGUUGGGAGAUCACGCCAAGAGGGAGAUGGAGACCGGCGACAAGCCCACUACAAGUCAUGGGAAAGCUUCAUCGGAAGAGUCCCGCAACAAAAAGAAAGGGAAGGAAAAGAAAUCCUCUUCCCACAAGUCGCAUCGGAGUGGCGACAAGAAAAAGAAGAUGAGAAAGGUGGUCUACUACGAGACCGAUACUUCAUCACCUUCCACAUCCGGCUCCGACGCGCCAUCCAUCACUUCUAAGCGCCAUGAGCACAAGUAGUUUAGUAAGAUCCCCCUACACUAUCCUCGCAUUCCUAAACAUAUGCCUUUACUUUCCGUCCCAUUAGGCAAACCACCAACUUUUGAUGGUGAAGAUUAUGCAAGGUGGAGUGAUUUAAUGCGAUUUCAUCUAACCUCACUCCACAAAAGUAUAUGGGAUGUCGUUGAGUUUGGUGUACAGGUACCAUCCGUAGGGGAUGAAGAUUAUGAUGAGGACGAGGUGGCCCAAAUCGAGCACUUCAACUCUCAAGCCACAACAAUACGACUCGCCUCUCUAAGUAGAGAGGAGUACAACAAGGUGCAAGGAUUAAAGAGCGCCAAGGAAGUUUGGGAUGUGCUCAAAACCGCGCACGAGGGAGAUGAGCUAACCAAGAUCACCAAGCGGGAGACGAUCGAGGGGGAGCUCGGUCGCUUUCGGCUUCACAAAGGGGAAGAGCCACAAGACAUGUACAACCGGCUCAAAACCUUGGUGAACCAAGUGCGCAACCUCGGGAGCAAAAAGUGGGAUGACCACGAGAUGGUUAAGGUUAUUCUUAGAUCACUUAUUUUCCUUAACCCUACUCAAGUUCAAUUAAUUCGUGGUAAUCCUAGAUAUACACUAAUGACUCCCGAGGAAGUAAUCGGGAAUUUUGUGAGCUUUGAGUAUAUGAUCAAGGGCUCAAAGAAAAUCAAUGAGCUAGAUGAUCCCUCCACAUCCGAAGCACAACCGGUCGCAUUUAAGGCGACGGAGGAGAAGAAGGAGGAGUCUACACCGAGUAGACAACCAAUCGACGCAUCAAAGCUCGACAAUGAGGAAAUGGCGCUCGUCAUCAAGAGCUUCCGCCAAAUCCUCAAACAAAGGAGGGGGAAAGACUACAAGCCCCGAUCCAAGAAAGUGUGCUACAAAUGUGGUAAGCCCAGUCAUUUUAUUGCAAAAUGUCCUCUAUCUAGUGACAGUGACAGGGGCGACGACAAGAAGGGGAGAAGAAAGGAGAAGAAGAGGUACUACAAGAAGAAGGGCGGCGAUGCCCAUGUUUGUCGCGUGUGGGACUCCGACGAAAGCUCUAGCGACUCCUCCGACGACGAGGACGCCGCCAACAUCACCGUCACCAAGGGACUUCUCUUCCCCAACGUCGGCCACAAGUGCCUCGUGGCAAAGGACGACAAAAAGAAGAAGGUUAAAUCCAAAUCCUCCACUAGAUAUGAGUCUUCUAGCGAUGAUAAUGCUAGUGAUGAGGAAGAUAAUUUGCGUACACUUUUUGCUAACCUAAACAUGCAACAAAAGGAAAAAUUAAAUGAAUUGAUUAGUGCUAUACAUGAGAAGGAUGAUCUCUUGGACUCCCAAGAGGACUUCCUUAUUAAAGAAAACAAAAAGCAUGUUAAGGUAAAAAAUGCUUAUGCUCUAGAAGUAGAAAAGUGCGAAAAAUUAUCUAGUGAGCUAAGCACUUGCCAUGAGACUAUUGACAACCUUAGAAAUGAAAAUGCUAAUUUGUUAGCUAAGGUUGAUUCAAAUGUUUGUAAUGUUUCAAUUCCCAAUCCUAGAAAUAAUGAUGAUGAUUUGCUUGCUAAGAUUGAAGAAUUGAACAUUUCUCUUGCUAGCCUUAGAGAUGAAAACGAAAAAUUACUUGCUAAGGCUAAAGAUUUUGAUGUUUGCAAUGCUACCAUUUCCGACCUUAGAAGUAAAAAUGAUAUAUUGCAUGCUAAGGUUGUAGAAUUAAAAUCUUGCAAACCCUCUACAUCUACCAUUGAGCACACUUCUAUUUGUACUAGAUGUAGAGAUGUUGAUGUUAAUGCUAUUCAUGAUCACAUGGCUUUAAUUAAACAACAAAAUGAUCAUAUAGCAAAAUUAGAUGCUAAAAUUGCCGAGCAUGAACUUGAAAAUGAAAAAUUUAAAUUUGCUCGUAGUAUGCUUUAUAAUGGGAGACGCCCUGGCAUUAAGGAUGGCAUUGGCUUCCAACAGGGAGGCAAUGUCAAACUUAAUGCCCCUCCUAAGAAAUUGUCCAACUUUGUUAAGGGCAAGGCUCUCAUGCCUCAGGAUAACGAGGGUUACAUUUUAUACCCUGCCGGUUAUCCCGAGAGCAAAAUUAGGAGAAUUCAUUCUAGGAAGUCUCACUCUGGCCCUAACCAUGCUUUUAUGUAUAAGGGUGAGACAUCUAGUUCUAGGCAACCAAACCAUGCUAAGUUGCCUAAAAGGAAAACUCCUAGUGCAUCAAAUGAACAUAGCAUUUCAUUUAAAACGUUUGAUGCAUCAUAUGUUUUUACUAACAAAUCCGGCAAGGUAGUUGCCAAGUAUGUUGGGGGCAAACACAAGGGAUCAAAAACUUGUGUUUGGGUACCCAAAGUUCUUGUAUCUAAUGCCAAAGGACCCAAAACCAUUUGGGUACCUAAAGUGAAGAACUAAACUUGUUUUGUAGGUUUAUGCAUUCGGGGGCUCAAGCUGGGUAAUCGACAGCGGGUGCACAAACCACAUGACAGGGGAGAAGAAGAUGUUCUCCUCCUACGAGAAAAACCAAGAUCCCCAACGAGCUAUCACAUUCGGGGAUGGAAAUCAAGGUUUGGUCAAAGGAUUGUGUAAAAUUGCUAUAUCACCUGACCAUUCUAUUUCCAAUGUUUUUCUUGUAGAUUCAUUAGAUUACAAUUUGCUUUCCGUUUCUCAAUUAUGCAAAAUGGGCUACAACUGUUUAUUCACUGAUGUAGGUGUCACUGUCUUUAGAAGAAGUGAUGAUUCAAUAGCAUUUAAGGGAGUGUUAGAGGGUCAGCUAUACUUAGUGAAUUUUGAUAGAGCUGAACUCGACACUUGCUUAAUUGCUAAGACUAACAUGGGUUGGCUCUGGCACCGCCGACUAGCCCAUGUUGGGAUGAAGAAUCUUCAUAAGCUUCUAAAGGGAGAGCAUAUUUUAGGACUAACAAAUGUUCAUUUUGAGAAAGACAGGAUUUGUAGCGCAUGCCAAGCAGGGAAGCAAGUUGGUGCCCAUCAUCCACAUAAGAACAUCAUGACGACUGACAGGCCACUGGAGCUCCUACACAUGAACCUAUUCGGACCGAUUGCUUACAUAAGCAUCGGCGGGAGUAAGUACUGUCUAGUUAUUGUGGAUGAUUAUUCUCGCUUCACUUGGGUGUUCUUUUUGCAGGAAAAAUCUAAUACCCAAGAUACUUUAAAGGGAUUCUUGAGACGGGCUCAAAAUGAGUUCGGCUUAAGGAUCAAGAAAAUAAGAAGCGACAACGGGACAGAGUUCAAAAACUCUCAAAUUGAAGGCUUCCUUGAGGAGGAGGGCAUCAAGCAUGAGUUCUCUUCUCCCUACACGCCACAAAAAAUGGUGUAGUGGAGAGGAAGAAUAGAACUCUAUUGGACAUGGCUAGAACCAUGCUUGAUGAGUACAAGACAUCGGAUCGGUUUUGGGCCGAGGCGGUCAACACCGCUUGCUACGCCAUCAACCGGUUAUAUCUACACCGAAUCCUCAAGAAGACAUCAUAUGAACUCCUAACCGGUAAAAAGCCUAAUAUUUCAUAUUUUAGAGUCUUUGGUAGCAAAUGCUUUAUACUUGUUAAAAGAGGUAGAAAAUCUAAAUUUACUCCUAAGACUGUAGAAGGCUUUUUACUAGGAUAUGAUUCAAACACAAGGGCAUAUAGAGUCUUUAACAAGUCCUUUGGACAAGUUGAAGUUUCUUGUGACGUUGUGUUUGAUGAGACUAACGGCUCUCAAGUAGAGCAAGUUGAUCUUGAUGAGAUAGGUGAUGAAGAGGCUCCAUGCAUCGCGCUAAGGAACAUGUCCAUUGGGGAUGUGUGUCCUAAGGAAUCCGAAGAGCCUCCAAAUGCACAAGAUCAACCAUCCUCCUCCACGCAAGCAUCUCCACCGACUCAAAAUGAGGAUGAUCUCAAGUUGAUGAAGUAAAAGAUCAAGCAAAUGAGCCACCUCAAGAUGACGGCAAUAAUCAAGGGGGAGAGGCAAAUGAUCAAGACAAGGAGGAUGAAGAACAAAGACCGCCACACCCAAGAGUCCACCAAGCAAUCCAACAAGAUCACCCCGUCGACACCAUCCUCGGCGACAUUCAUAAGGGGGUAACCACUAGAUCUCGUGUUGCACAUUUUUGUGAGCAUUACUCUUUUGUUUCCUCUAUUGAGCCACACAAGGUAGAGGAAGCACUACAAGAUUCGGAUUGGGUGGUGGCGAUGCAAGAGGAGCUCAACAACUUCACUAGGAAUGAGGUAUGGCAUUUGGUUCCACGUCCUAACCAAAAUGUUGUAGGAACCAAAUGGGUGUUCCGCAACAAGCAAGACGAGCAUGGUGUGGUGACAAGGAACAAAGCUCGACUUGUGGCCAAGGGAUACUCCCAAGUUGAAGGUUUGGAUUUCGGUGAAACCUAUGCACCCGUAGCUAGGCUUGAGUCAAUUCGCAUAUUAUUGGCCUAUGCUACUUACCAUGGCUUCAAGCUUUACCAAAUGGACGUGAAGAGUGCCUUCCUCAAUGGACCAAUCAAGGAAGAGGUCUAUGUUGAGCAACCUCCUGGCUUUGAAGAUAGUGAGUACCCUAACCAUGUAUACAAACUCUCUAAGGCGCUUUAUGGGCUCAAGCAAGCCCCAAGAUCAUGGUAUGAAUGCCUUAGAGAUUUCCUUAUCACUAACGGAUUCAAAGUCGGAAAAGCCGAUCCUACACUUUUCACUAAAACUCUUAAAAAUGACUUGUUUGUAUGCCAAAUUUAUGUUGAUGAUAUUAUAUUUGGGUCUACUAACGAGUCUACAUGUGAAGAAUUUAGUAGGAUCAUGACACAGAAAUUCGAGAUGUCAAUGAUGGGGGAGUUGAAGUACUUCUUAGGAUUCCAAGUGAAGCAACUCCAAGAAGGCACCUUCAUAAGCCAAACAAAGUAUACUCAAGAUAUUCUAAGCAAGUUUGGGAUGAAGGAUGCCAAACCCAUCAAGACACCCAUGGGAACCAAUGGGCAUCUCGACCUCGACGAGGGAGGUAAGCCUGUGGAUCAAAAGGUAUACCGGUCGAUGAUAGGUUCUUUACUCUACUUAUGUGCAUCUCGACCGGAUAUUAUGCUUUCCGUACGCAUGUGUGCAAGAUUCCAAGCCGACCCUAAGGAAGCUCACCUCACGGCCGUAAAACGAAUCUUGAGAUAUUUAGUUUAUACUCCUAAGUUUGGGCUUUGGUAUCCUAGGGGAUCCACUUUUGAUUUGAUUGGUUAUUCGGAUGCCGAUUGGGCGAGGUGUAAGAUUAAUAGAAAGAGCACAUCGGGGACUUGCCAGUUCUUGGGAAGAUCCUUGGUGUCUUGGGCUUCAAAGAAGCAAAAUUCCGUAGCUCUUUCUACCGCCGAAGCCGAGUACAUUGCCGCAGGCCAUUGUUGCACGCAACUACUUUGGAUGAGGCAAACCCUUAGGGACUACGGUUACAAAUUAACCAAAGUUCCUCUUCUAUGUGAUAAUGAGAGUGCAAUCCGCAUGGCGGAUAAUCCCGUUGAGCAUAGCCGCACUAAACACAUAGCCAUUCGGUAUCAUUUUCUAAGGGAUCACCAACAAAAGGGAGAUAUCGAGAUUUCAUAUAUUAACACUAAAGAUCAAUUAGCCGAUAUCUUUACCAAGCCAUUAGAUGAACAAACUUUUAACAAACUUAGGCAUGAGCUAAAUAUUCUUGAUUCUAGGAACUUCUUUUGUUAAAUUGCACACAUAGCUCUUUUAUAUACCUCUGAUCAUUUCUCUUUCAUAUGCUAUGACUAAUGUGUUUUCAAGUCUAUUUCAAACCAAGUCAUAGGUGUAUUGAAAAGAAAUUAGAGUCUUCGGCAAAGACAAAGGCUUCCACUCCGUAACUCAUCCUUCGUCGUCGCUCCGCGCAACUCUCCAUCUUUGGGGGAGAGAGCAUCUCUCCUACUUUGGUAUAAUCUUCACUCAUAUUCUAUUUUACCAAAGGGGAGAAAGUUACUUCAAGGGCUCUAAUGACUCCGUUUUUGGCGAUUUAUGCCAAAGGGGGAGAAAGUGUUAGCCCAAAGCAAAAGGACCGCACCACCAAACUCAUUUUAAAAUGAUUGUCAAUUGGAAAUUUCAAAAUUGAUAUCUUAUUGAGUUCAAAAAGGGGGAGAAAGUAGUAUUUCAAAAUUGAUAUAUCAAAACCCUCUUGAACACUAAGAGGAGAAUUUCAUUGAGGAGGAGUUUUGUUUAGUCAAAGAAAAAGCAUUUGAAACAAGGGGAGAAAAGUUCAAAUCUUGAAAAUGCUUCGCAAAAUCCUAUUCAUUUAUCUUUGACUAUUUGCAAAAGGACUUUGAAAAGAAUUUACAAAAGAAUUUGCAAAAACAAAUCAUGUGGUGCAAGAGUGGUCCAAAAUGUUAAAAAUAAAAGAAACAAUCCAUGCAUAUCUUAUAAGUAUUUACAUUGGCUCGAUUCCAAGCAACCUUUGCACUUACAUUAUGCAAGCUAGUUCAAUUAUGCACUUCUAUAUUUGCUUUGGUUUGUGUUGGCAUCAAUCACCAAAAAGGGGGAGAUUGAAAGGGAAUUAGGCUUACACCUAUUUCCUAAAUGAUUUUGGUGGUUGAAUUGCCCAACACAAAUAAUUGGACUAACUAGUUCGCUCUAGUGUAUAAGUUAUACAGGUGUCAAAGGUUCAUACUUAGCAAAUAAAAAGACCAAGAAUCGGGUUCAACAAAGAGAGCAAACGGAUAACCGAAGGCACCCUGGUCUGGCGCACCGGACUGUCCGGUGUGCCACCGGACAGUGUCCGGUGCACCAGGGGACUUCAAGCCAAACUUCGCACCUUCGGGAAUUCUCAGAGGCGCUCCGCUAUAAUUCACCGGACUGUCCAGUGUACACCGAACAGUGUUCGGUGCUCCAGAGGAGAGCGACUCUGAACUCGCCAGCUUCGGGAAUUCGCUCCGCUAUAAUUCACCGGACAUGUUCGGUGUGCACCGGACUGUCCGGUGAGCCAACGGAGCAACGACUACUUCGCGCCAACGGUCACCUGCAGAAGCAUUAAAUGUGCGCCAGAGCGCGAAGAAGUCAGGCACGCGCGAUGUGGCGCACCGGACACUCUACAGUACAUGUCCGGUGUGCCACCGGACAUCCAGGCGGGCCCAGCAGUCAGAGCUCCAACGGUCGGAACCCAACGGCCUGGUGACGUGGCUGGCGCACCGGACACUGUCCGGUGCACCAUGCGACAGACAGCCUCCACCAAACGGCUAGUUUGGUGGUUGGGGUUAUAAAUACCCCCAACCACCCCACAUUCAAGUCAUCCAAGUUUUCCACCUUUCAACCACUUACAAGAGCUAGGCAUUCAAUACAAGACACACCCAAGCGAUCAAAUCCUCUCCUAAUUCCACAAAAGCAUUAGUGACUAGUGAGAGUGAUCUGUUGUGUUCUUUUGAGCUCUUGCGCUUGGAUUGCUUUCUUCUUUCUCAUUCUUUGCUUGUGAUCAAAACUCAAUUGUAACCGAGGCAAGAGACACCAAUUGUGUGGUGGUCCUUGCGGGGAAGUUUUGUUCCCGGUUGAUUUGAGAAGAGAAAGCUCACUCAGUCCGAGGGACCGAGAGGGAAAGGGUUGAAAGAGACCGGCCUUUGUGGCCUCCUCAACGGGGAGUAGGUUUGCGAGAACCGAACCUCGGUAAAACAAAUCCGUGUGUCACACUUCUUAUUCGCUUGCGAUUUGUUUUGCACCCUCUCUCGCGGACUCGAUUAUAUUUCUAACGCUAACACGGCUUGUAGUUGUGAUUAACUUUGUAAAUUUCAGUUUCGCCCUAUUCACCCCCCCUCUAGGCGACUUUCAAUCGCUCAACAAGUUGUGGGGAAUAAUGUGGUAUGAACUCACCAAAGGUGGGAGUUCAUGUGAUGUGUAAAGCUGAUCAACAAUAGGGGUUUAAAGCUGAGCAUUGCUUUUAAAGUUGGUCAAAGUUUUAUUAGCAAUUACUAAAUGUAAGUAAAUACCAAACCAUAAUAAACAUAAUAGAACAAAAUUAAUAACAAAAUCUCAUGCAAUGCAUAUGACAAAUUGAAUUUAAGUUCCAUAAAUUAAUCAUGCGAGAGUCAUGAGCUGCUCAUAACCAUGAGCUCGGCUAGUAUACCAGUUUUACACUCUACAGAGGUUGUACCAUGUACCCACAAGUCGUGUAUCCCAUGUCGCCAGGGUUUGCAAGGCCCUUAGACACUACCGAGGUGAAUGGCUAGGGAUCCACUACGAGGCCUUUACAAAGUUCCACUAGCUUCCGAAAACCCGCUACAGUUUAUGGGAAGAGCACUUGCAAGAAUCCCCCGUCUGACCGCCAUCGCAGCAAAAUCAACUCGAGAACCUCCUUGCAUGCAACUCCCCUACUGCCCUUGCCCCUUUCGGGUAAGAUAGUCUUCCACUAGCUUUCCUAAUUAGUCAGCCAAGGGCGUCCCAUUCCACCCUCGUGGUGGCACAUGUUUCUCAAGUUAAGCUCCAUGUUCCAAUUAACAUUUAAUGAUCUUGACAUGAACAUAAAUAACAUAACAGAAUAAUUGGAACAUGGAUAUAAUGAAAUAUUAAUCCCAAAACCAUAUAAUGCAAUAGCGUAACUACCUAGAAGAAUCAAGGGUAAACAAGGUAAACAGGAUAAACAGACCAGGGUGACCUAUCGGGUCCCAUCAAAAUUAAAUCUAUGCAUUAAAUAAUGAUAAUAAAAAAUAUUAUUGGGUAACAAAAGUGGAUCAAGGGCACAACUUGCCUGGCACUUGAGAUUCCAGGUACCACUUGCUCUUCAAGUGACUCGUAACCUUGCUGCUAGUCGUAGCAAUACAAACAAACAUGGUAUAGACAAAAUUAACAUCACACCAAACAUAAGUACAAACUGAAUAAUAAUAAUCUAUGCAAAGCUACGAAAUCGUGGGAUCAAGAUCUACUAAGAUUGGAGUUACCAUUAAGGAGUUAUGAUUUUAUAAAAGAUCUAUGUGAUUAAAAUAUUAGACUAUAUUAUGAAUUGGUUAGGAUACCCUAUAUGAGAGAAUUAAUUAUCUCAACUUCAAUCUAAGUUAUAAAUUGACCAUAGAUCUUAUUCUAGUAGGUUAUAAUGAUAAGCAAAUUAACAAGUCUAACCGACAUAAAUUAAAUAAUGAUCUAAUUAUAAAAGAAUGAGGCAUGAUAUAAUAAAUGUUGUUAUUGUGUAGUAGAUAUUUAUGCGAAGCUAACGCAACUGGAACGAGUCAAAUCGGAUUUAAAAUUGAGAAAUUAUGAAUUUCUAAAGUUAUUAGGUACUUAGAAUAGAUUAAUUCAAAUGAACAAUUUUAAUUCAAGUUUUAUGGCUAAACAGUAUUACUGGUUGAUAGACAAUAUUAAAGCAAAAUUAAUGUCUCUAGAAUGAAUCAAUUUAGGGCUAAAAUGAAUUUAAUAUGAUUUAUCCAAGUUUAUGGAAUUAUUUUUGUAUUAGAAACCAAUUUCUAUAAUCAUUUCCCUGUUUUCUCUAUUUUCCUAGUUUGCGCGUCAAUUACUAAAAAGAUCAGGGGCUAUCUCAGAAGAUUACCCAGACUCAGUCUACACCCCCUUGGACGGCGGGUUGAUUUCUAUGUUCUACGGGGUCUCUUUAACAAAAUAUCUGGCCGAAGGGGUACGGGCGGAUGAGAGCCGCCCGAUCCGACUUGUGCGGUCAGGAUUAGAUUCCCACAGAGCAACUCCCACGCGUGGGAUGUGUCAUCGACGGUUCAGAUUUUAAAACGCACAAGCACACGAGGUUCGUCCGAUCGCGAUCGGACGCGAGUCGCGUGCACAAACCCAACCGUUAUCGUCGAUUAGAUCUCGGCCAUCCAUCCAAUAUACGAUGGUUGUCGAGCACUCCCUAUCCUGCCCGCCCAUGCACAGAUCUGCGGUCACGAUUAAAUCGAGCUGAACUGGUAUCUCGAACUAAUCAAAACCACCUAUCGGCCAACCAACGGCCCACGCGUUCCUCUCCUCACCCCGGUUGGAGACGGCAGUGCGCCAGCCCGCGCCGACGGCGGCGCCAUUGGCGGCGAACCCUUGAGCACGCCUGGAAGGGCCUAAGUCUAACGCGACCCGAUGCAAAACGAAGAGGGAAAGGUGGCGAGCAUCAUGGUGGGGGCCUUACCGAGGAUUAGGUCACCAGGAGUCACGCCCACGGCGCACGGUGGAAGUCUGUGGGUCCUCAUCGUCGGUGAGCAAUUCCGGCUGCACAGAGACCCACCUCACACCCACACCCCCGCGUGUCGUCACCGGUGGGUUGCGUAAUGCUCCGGUUCCAGCCUCGAGGGCACGAACGGCAACAGACGCGAGGCACAGGUGCGGCGGCUACGCCCUCCUAUGGUGUGCUGGUGGCGGGGUGUUCGUGCGUAGAGAGGACGACCCGAAAAAGCAGCUCGACCUGAAUAUAUAGCUGGCGCAGUGAAGAGGCUAGGCCAGCGUGCGGUCAGUUGGCGGUUGGAUCCAGCGUGGAACGCGGCGUUCGGAGCGGAGGUGAUGAGUGGGCUCGAGUCCGCGGUAUUCACGGGAGGAAGAAGACGAGUUCGCAGCGGAUCUCACCCGAUGACCAGUGGGCCCCACGCGGCAGCCACAGAGCUAGCGCGUGCGAGAUGGAGCUUGGGUCAUGCGGAGGAAAACAGAAGUGGGCCGAACGUGCGUGGUGGCUUGGCUGAGCUGCUGCCGCGUGGGUCUAACCUGUCAGUGACAUGAGGUGGAGAUGGCUGGCGCGGUAAAAUGGCUGACGGUGUGGGCUGAGUGCAGCGAGCGAAGUGGGCCAAGGUGGAGAAUGGGCCGAAAGUGAGGUAGCCGGCCUAGAGAGUUCUGGUUCUUCUUUUUCUUUUCUUGUUUCUAUUUUUAAUUUAAAAAUACCCAAUCAAAUUCAAAUUUUCUAUUUCAAGUAUAAAUGCAUCAAUCAAAAAUCCGAGCAUGAUAUGCAACAAAUUUAUCUAUAUUAAUAUAUAUAUAUAUAUAUAUGUUUAUUAAUUUAUCUAUUUAAGUAAAUGCUUCAAAUGUUUAAUUUAGUAAAGAAUAAAUUCAUAGCAUCAAAUAAUUGAAUAUCUUCUUCAUUAAAUUUCCCUUGUCAUAUAUGUAGGAAAAACCAUUUUUUGUAAACUUUUCUUAGAAAUUAAUAUCAAUCAUUUACUUUAGGAUAAUAUUCCUUUCAUGUUUACCUCUCAUUCCAUGUUUCUCAUUUAUUUAUUUUAGCACCAAGUAAGUAUUUUCAAAUGUGAAAUCUUAAUUAGAAAAUAUAACUUAAAUUUUUAUAGGACUUAUCCUUAUACAAAACUUAUAAACUUAAAAGAUAUUUUAUAUAAGAAUCCUUUUAUUGAAUCUUAAAAAAUAUUUUAGGAGAUGUGACUUCAAAAGUUAUGGGACUUCUAAAAAAAUUCUAACACAAGGUCUUUGAAAAUAUUUUUUUACUAUAGUCUCAAAAUGAGAUUUUGAGGUGUUACAGAAGAGCACUUGCAAGAAUCUCCCGUCUGACCGCCAUCACAGCAAAAUCAACCUGAGAACCUCCUUGCAUGCAACUCCCCUAUUGUCAUUACCCCUUUCGGGUAAGGUAGUCUUCCAUUAGCUUUCCUAAUUAGUUAGCCAAGGGCGUCCCAUUCCACCCUUGUGGCGGCACGUGUUUCUCAAGUUAAGCUCCAUGUUCUAAUUAAAAUAUAAUGAUCUUGACAUGAACAUAAAUAAAAUAAUAGAAUAAUUGGAACAUGGACAUAAUGUAUUAUUAAUCCCAAAACCAUAUAGAGCAAUAGCAAAACUACCCAAAUGAUUUAGGGGCAAACAAGGUAAAAGAUAAUCAUACUAGGGUGACCUAUUGGGUCCCAUAAAAAUUAAACCUAUGCAUAAGUAAGUGAUAUUAAAGAACAUGAUUGGGUAAAUGGAAGUGAUCAAGGGCACAACUUGCCUAGCACUUGAGAUUCCAGUUACCACGGUGAUUCUUCAGAUCCUCGUGACCUCACUACUAGUCGUAGCAAUACAAACAAACAUGGUAUAGAUGAAAUUAACAUCACACCACACAUAAGAACAAACUGAAAUAUAGUAAUCUACGCGUUGCUACGAGAUCGCGGGAUCGAGAACCACUAAAAUCGGAGUUACGAUUAAGGAGUUAUGAUUUUAUAGAAGAUCUGUGUGAUUAAAAUAUUAAAUUAAAUUAUAAAUUGGUUAAUAUAAAUUAUAUGAGAGAUUAUUCUAUAAAUAAUUAUCUCAACUUUAAUCUAAGUUAUGAGUUGACCAUAGAUCAUAUUCUAGUAUAUUAUAAUGAUAAGCAGUUUAACAAGACUAACCCACAUAAGUUAAAUAAAAGUCUAGUUAUGAAAUAAUGAAACAUGGUACAGUAAAUGUUAUUUAUUGCAUAGCAAAUAUUUAUACGGAGACUAACGCAACUGGAACGAGUCAAUUCGGAAUUAAAACGAAGCAGUUAUGAUUUUCUGAAGAUUUUAUGUAUUUGAUAUGAGAUUAAUUGAGAGAUCAAUUUUAUUAUUGUUUUCAUGUCAAAACUGUGGCACUAAUUGAUAAACAAUAAUAUUACAAAAAUAUAGGAACUAAAAUGGAUCAAUUUGGAUAAAAAUGGAUUUUCUAUGAAUUAAAUAAGUUCUAGGAAUUGUUUUUAUAUUAAAAAUCCAUUUCUAAAUUUAUUUAUUUGAUUUUCCUGAGCUCUGGACCGGGCGUCAAAUAAUACAAACCUCGGGGUUCAAUCUGUAACAAUUCCCUAGACUCAGGCUAAACCAGGGAAGGACUGCGGGUUGUUUUGUCACUUUCUCAGGGUGUCAUAUGAAAUUCUGUAACAGCGAGGGGUAUCCGCUGUCCAGGACCAUCAGAACCAAAUUUAAGGGAUCAGAUUAGAUCUGAUCAUCACGCGGAUGGCUACAUCAGCACGGCCACAGGAUUAAGAAUCAACGGCAUGGAUCCUAAGCAGAACGGAUCACCCGGAAACCGAUCGAUCACCGAUCGACGGUCUAGGCGCGCCAGAUCGAAACGGUACGCCCGAUUAAAUCCAGACCGUCCGUUGAUUGAUCCACGAUGGUGAAACGAAAUGGCCGCGAUCUAAUCCGAAGCGUUGCCACAAAAUCCGACGGCACGCGACAUUCCUCCCCACCCCGUACACAGACGCGGCGGCACUAGCCAUCACGCGGCGGAGCUCCCGCCGCCGUGACGACCAAUGCACCAAACGCCGCCCUAUACCCUAAAUUGAUGACACUGCUCAAUCCCCAGGGUUCUAGUGAUCUGCGUGAGGUACUAGCAACAACAUUCGACAGCCGAGAAAAUCGUGCCCUCGGGUUCCCGCGCUCCGCGGCGGCGCCGUGAAGUCCGGCGAGGAAUUCCCACCUCAGUGGAGCAACUACCCUCUAAUCCGCCGUGCUACGUGUUGAGGAUAUAAAGGCGAAGGGUGCAGUGGGGAAAUUACCGGUGAUUAGGCUCCACGGAUUCCUGCCCACGCGCGCAGUCGAGCUCCCGGCAGAACGCUAUCGCGGUGAGUAUCCGCCAGCGCACGAAUGGGGUUGGCUGCGGCAAUUCGGGGCGGUGCUGCCCAAUCCUCUGCCGAGCCCGGCCGCGAAUCACCUUCGACGAAGCAACUAGAUUCCCCACGGUCCGAAGCUCUCCUCUCUCCCCUUUUUCUGCCCAGAUGAGCUUAGCUCCGAUGUGCAGGUGGUAACUUCCUCGCCCCGGCCCUUUCGCGACUCGCAGUGACGAUAGUCCAAUAG